rnacentral:rRNA from 1 species
GCCUAACACAUGCAAGUCGAACGAGAAAGUCCGCAAGGAUGAGUACAGUGGCGUACGGGUGAGUAACACGUGGAUGAUCUACCUUCUGGUGGGGAAUAACCCUGGGAAACCGGGGCUGAUACCGCAUAAGUCCGAGAGGAGAAAGCAGCAAUGCGCCGGAAGAGGAGUCCGCGGCCGAUUAGCUAGUUGGCAGGGUAAAAGCCUACCAAGGCAAAGAUCGGUAGCCGGCCUGAGAGGGCACACGGCCACACUGGCACUGAAACACGGGCCAGACUCCUACGGGAGGCAGCAGUGGGGAAUCCUGCACAAUGGGGGUAACCCUGAUGCAGCGACGCCGCGUGAGCGAUGAAGCCCUUCGGGGUGUAAAGCUCUUUCGGCAGGGAAGAUGAUGACGGUACCUGCAGAAGCAGCUGCGGCUAACUACGUGCCAGCAGCCGCGGUAAUACGUAGGCAGCAAGCGUUGUUCGGAGUUACUGGGCGUAAAGGGUGUGUANGCGGUUGUUUAAGUUCGGUGUGAAAUCUCCCGGCUCAACCGGGAGGGUGCGCCGAAUACUGAAUGA